rnacentral:rRNA from 1 species
AUGGAGAUUAGCAAGAGGAUCCCCGUCUCGCGGCGGAUUAGUCCUCUCGGCGUCUUUUGUCUCUGUCUCUGCUGCGUCACCUCGUCCGCGGUCCAGCCGUCCCGCCGAGGCGAGCUCCCCACGUCGUUCGGACGUCCGGUCGUUCCCCAUGACUACCUCCGGGCAGCCGACGUGGCGCAGCAGUGCCGGUCCGUGCUCUCCUCAGGGGCCGAGCUUACGGCUGACGGCCCCAUGGUUCAGGAUCUACACUUCGCCAACGGCGACUGGCGCCAAGACGCCGGCCACGCACCGCUGAUGCCGUUCCCUGGCACUGCCAGCGGCGACGUUGGUGCCGGUACCGAGUUGGCCACCCCUCUCGCGACCUUCAUGCUCACGCACGCCGACACAGUGCAGCGGCAGCGCGCGAGACGCUCCCUCAACGUCAGCGGGGUGCUCACCUUGACCAUCAGCCGCAACUGCUGCUGUUCCGACGACAAGUCUGAGAUGAUGGAUCCACACAGUGGCCGGCGUCCGUCACCGGAGUUCAAGCUCCUUCCUCGUAUUGCCAAGCUCAAGAUACUGCUGGAAGGCGUCUACACGGAGGCUGGUGGUGGCGAGAGGGUGCUGUGCAUGGUCGGGAAUGCUCCCCUCCCCAUGCGCGGCGGGGGCGGCGGCGGCAACACCACGGAGGGGCCGUGGGACUGGGCCAAGAAUAUCGGCGAUGGCAGCAACAACUUCGAGCUGCCGGUCGUCGCCGAUGACAAUAUAGUGCUCAUUCUACGGUACCCAAAGGCGCAGACAUUGACAACCCGGGCGGUGCACGGCGAGAUGAUGAGCACGAGCGCCAAGUCGGACAGCGUGUACUUCGACACUGUCCGGCUGGUUUCGCAGUUCGGCGGCCCAUACGCCCGUUACCGGUUCCGGCCGGAGGAGGAAGACACAACUGGGUGCAGCACGUCUCCCUUGUUCUUCUGCGACGACGACGUCGCCGGUGGCUGUGCAGGGGACCUGCACGAAGACGUCCCUUUCUGCGACAUCCUUCGUGCCAACGAGCAUGGCGUGCUCGCCGUCGUCCCCAACUGGAACUGCGACUCCACCGAUGAGUUCUGCGGUCGACUGGGACCCUUUGUGAACACGACGGACAGGGCGUUCACGGGUUUUGCCAUCGUGAUGCAAGGCGUUCGGUGCGAGCCGACGAGCGGGCUGGACGGCAAGGCGGCCGUUCUGGUGUCGGCCGUGUUCCGCGCCAUGCCGCCAUGGGAGGACCAGGAAACUGCGGUGAAGCGUGCUGGGCUGAGCGGCAUGACGCUGUCGGCGGAGGGCGUGUGGAGAGUGUCUACCGGGCGGCUUUGCAUGACGGCCUGCCUGGGCACCGGCACCGGCACCGGCAAGGCUGCGUGCCAGCACCGUGUCUCCUUGUACAUCUCCACCACAUUCUCCAUCACCCGCCGCGGCAUCCUCAUGGGGCAGAUAACAUCCAUGGAUGGCAGUCAUUUCCCGCUGUCGUUCCACCGAGCAUUGCAUCCCAGACAGGCCUGGAACAAGGCUGGCGGCUCCGACGAGUGGGUGCGCAUGACGUACAGCUACAACAAGGUGGAGCAGGCCAUGGAGCUUCUCUGGAGGACCAAGCCCUCCAGGAUCUCCAGCAACCUUGCCGCCAUGUCUCUGAUUAGCUACCCAAGGAAACGUGCCCAUGGUGACACGGCGAGCCUCUCCCAAGAUCUCCAACUCCGAUUCCGGGUCGUGCCAAAGCUUCACCCUGUACCAGAAUGGAUCAUCAAGGGACAAUCCUCUGAGCGCUUCUUUGAGCUGCAGAUAUUCUCGAUUGGCCCGCUCGUCAGCUACGUGCCCCGCCAGCAGCAAGAGAGAUGGCAAGAUCAAGAUGGCGUGGAGCAGCGGCAGGAACUAGUGAACGUGUCGGCCGUGCUCACGGAGUCCGGCGGGGUCUUUGGAUGGCGCCCGGUGAUGUCGCUGGAGGGCGUGUACAACCCGGAGGACGGGCGGAUGCACCUGGUGGGCUGCCGAGACGUCGAGGCCCCAUGGCAGGUCAUGUCAAAGAUGAGCGACCUUGAAAGCGGGAUGGACUGCUCCAUCGAGCUGCAAGUGGAGUACCCGCCGACGAAGAUGCGGUGGCUGUUCAGCCCAUCGGCCAAGGUUUACAUGUCCAGCACAAGGGCGGCCGGCGACCCGCUGCACUUCAACCGGACCGAGCUCCCAGCGCUGCAAUCCUUUUACCCCGGGACGAGGUUUGACGGAUUCGUGGGGCAGAACGUGGGGGGGAUCGUCUGCCUCGCCAUGUUGUCGGCCACAAUCGUCGCCGCCAUGAGCCAGCUGCGCUACAUGGAUUCCCACCCGGACGUCGUGCCGUACAUCUCCCUCGCUAUGCUCGGCGCCCAGGCGCUCUGCUACAGCGCGGUGCUGGUCACGGACGCCAUGAUCCUACCCGCGUGGCCGAGGAUGUACGACGGCGACGGCAACUACAGGACGCACGUCCGGCGCUUGCACUGGGACAUGGACUGCUCCAUCAAAGCCCUCGCCCUAGUGGCGCUCCUCCUCACGCUGCGCCUGGCGCGCAAGGUGCGGCGGUCGAGGGUCCGCGCGCGGGCGCGGACGCCCCUUGAGCCAGGACGCGUCCCGAGGGACGGAGCCGGGCUGCACCUUGGCGGCCUCCUGUUCGUCCUCGCCGUGCACUGGCUGCUGGCCACGUACGGCGGCGCGUCGACCAAGCAGCCGCCGCAUGUGGCGUACACCAUGCAAGCACAGGGCCAGGGGGGAUUCUAUAGCCGGCCCUCGUACAAUAUGGCCGCCAUUGUCGAGCGGUGCAUCAGCCUGGCGAGGGAAUGGUUCCUGCUGCCGCAGGUCAUGGGAAACGCCGUGUGGCGCGUCAACUGCCGGCCUCUGAGGAAGAGCUACUAUGCCGGAAUCACCGGCAUGUCGCUGCUGCCACACGUCUAUGGGUUCCUCCGCCCGCCUCCCGCGGUUGACAUGUACCCUGUCCCUGAGGAGGCCCAAGACGGCGCCAUGGACUUGUACCCCAAGGUUGGUGGCGUGGUGGUGCCCCUCGUCGCGGCAGCGCUCGCGUUCUUGGUCUACGUGCAGCAGCGCUGGAACUACAGGAUCCUAGGGUGGGUGAUAGUGGGGAAGGAGAAGAAUAAGAUGCAGCACGUGUACUGA